AGGCAGAACUGACUCUGCCAUUUACCUUGGACAAGUUGUGUGAUUCCUCUCAACUUCAGUUUCAUCUGCAAGCAUUGAAUAAUACAGCAUAACUCACAGGAUUAAAAGAAGGAUGAAGUGAAAGCAUUCAUUAAGUGCUGGAUUUAAGAAAGGCUGGCCCUGAUGUUCCGCAAGGAUGACACAGAUACUAUUGAGGUGCUUUGGCGCUGCGGAGAUGCCUCCUAAUUGUGUUUGCAGCUCAGAGCAGAAAGCAUGCCCAUUCGAGCCUUAGGACCCUGCUCUCAGCCAACCCAGUGCUACCUGGGCACAAGAAACUGUGGAAAGAUGCAGCAUGGCAGAGGAAGGACUGCUUCACUCUGCCAGCUGUUCCUCCAGCCCAUGUCCUGAACGGCCACCAGAGGUGAGAUUCUGUGGGUCCUCUUUCACCCUUGCCAGUCAUCAUCAAAGCCCAUCCUAAUGUGAACCCUCACAUGCAUAAACUCCCACUGGUUCAGAAGACACAGAGCAUUAAAGAGGCGGCCCUAGGAGGUGGGGAGGGUUGUAAGAAAAAUGAUUUACCUGCGAGUACAGAUGGAGAAACAUCUCCACCUUUUCCUGACUUUCUGUGGUGUCAGCAUCACUCCAGGCCGAGCGCAGUAGAUGCAGCUGGAAGUUGAUGGACCCAGCGAUGGCAAUAAGCAGAUUAUUUAUACUCACAGUGGUGGCAAUGACAAGAAUGAUAACCUCUGCCCUCAGGGUGGGUGGGAAG